GAUGAAGAACGUAGCGAAAUGCGAUAAGUAAUGUGAAUUGCAGAAUUCAGUGAAUCAUCGAAUCUUUGAACGCACAUUGCGCCCCUUGGUAUUCCGAGGGGCAUGCCUGUUCGAGCGUCAUUAUAACCCUCAAGCUCAGCUUGGUGUUGGGGCCUGCUGCAGUGGCAGCCCUUAAAAUCAGUGGCGGCGCCAUCUGGCUCUAAGCGUAGUAAUUCUUCUCGCUAUGGAGUCCUGGUGGAUGCUUGCCAUCAACCCCCAAUUUUUCUAUGGUUGACCUCGGAUCAGGUAGGGAUACCCGCUGAACUUAAGCAUAUCGAUAAGCGGAGGA
rnacentral:misc_RNA from 1 species